rnacentral:tRNA from 1 species
UCCCUAUUAGCUCAGUUGGUAGAGAAUCUGCCUGCAAUGCAGGAGACCCUGGUUCGAUUCCUGGGUUGGGAA